AUGAGUGCGGGCGGCGCGUUUGGUGGAAACAGGGGAGCGAGGCCUGUACCUCCUGAAAAAGGUGUAUUCCCCCUCGAUCACUUGCAUGAGUGCGACCUGGAGAAGAAGGACUAUCUUGCUUGCCUGAAGUCUACUGGAGCUCAGUCUGAAAACUGUCGGAUGUUCUCGAAGAAAUACUUGGAAUGUAGGAUGGAGAGGAACCUGAUGGCAAAGCAGGAUAUGUCGGAGCUUGGGUUCAGUAACACAGACGUUGUGGUUACACCUUCCGAGAAGAACAGCAAACUGGAGAGCCCAACAAGUGAUUCAAAAGAGAAGAAAUAG
rnacentral:rRNA from 1 species